rnacentral:rRNA from 1 species
GGUUAAGCGACUAAGCGUACACGGUGGAUGCCCUGGCAGUCAGAGGCGAUGAAGGGCGUGCUAAUCUGCGAUAAGCGCCGGUAAGGUGAUAUGAACCGUUAUAACCGGCGAUACCCGAAUGGGGAAACCCAGUGUGAUUCGUCACACUAUCAUUAACUGAAUCCAUAGGUUAAUGAGGCGAACCGGGGGAACUGAAACAUCUAAGUACCCCGAGGAAAAGAAAUCAACCGAGAUUCCCCCAGUAGCGGCGAGCGAACGGGGAGGAGCCCAGAGCCUGAAUCAGCAUGUGUGUUAGUGGAAGCGUCUGGAAAGGCGCGCGAUACAGGG